rnacentral:rRNA from 1 species
CCUACGGGUGGCAGCAGUGAGGAAUAUUGGUCAAUGGGCGGAAGCCUGAACCAGCCAAGUAGCGUGCGGGAUGAAGGCCCUACGGGUCGUAAACUGCUUUUGCACGGGGAUAAAACCCUCCAUUUAUGCUGGUCUGCAGGUACCGUACGAAUAAGGGCCGGCUAAUUCCGUGCCAGCAGCCGCGGUAAUACGGAAGGCCCGAGCGUUAUCCGGAUUCAUUGGGCUUAAGGGGAGCGUAGGCGGGCGGUAAAGUCAGUUGUAAAAUCGCGGGGCUAAACCGCGCCCCGCAGUUGAAACUGGACGCCUUGAGUUCACAACAGGCAGGCGGAAUUCGUGGUGUAGCGGUGAAAUGCAUAGAUAUCACGAGGAACCCCGAUUGCGAAGGCAGCCUGCCGGGGUGCGACUGACGCUGAUGCUCGAAGGUGCGGGUAUCAAACAGGAUUAGAUACCCUUGUAGUC